rnacentral:lncRNA from 1 species
AUAAAUGAAAGAAUAAUAAAUGAAUGAAUAAUAUACAUUUUAUUAAGAGUUAAUUUCACAUAAAUUUCUGUAAAUAUAGUUAAUGACAAAUAUACUUUUAUAAAAUUUAAUUUUUAUAUAUUAUUCUCGUAAAAGUUCUAAUACUUUCAAAUAUAUCAUUUUGAUUUAUUACCAUUAGAGAACGAUUAGAUAAUUAUUUAUAUUUUUAAUUUUACCAUCAUAAAUAUGUCUCUUCAAAAGUCAUAACAAUAUAAUAUAAUAAAAAUAAAAAUGUCAAAAACUAAUCAGAUUAAGUAUUUAAUCUAUAGUUAACUAAAUUUUUCUAAUGAAUAUAUUUAAAAAUAUCAGGACUUUUAUAAAAAUAAUAUAUAAAAAUUAAACUUUAUAGUAAUAUUUGUUAUUCACUGUAACCCUUUUUUGAAUUAUUCCCUUG